UGUUGCUCAGGCUGGUCUUGAACUCCUGACCUCAAGGGAUCCUCCUGCUCUGGCUUCCCAAGUAGUUAGGAUUACAGGAUUCAUUUGAAGCAGCCCACAGGGACGGGUGACACUGAGGAAACAAAACCCAGUCCCCCCGGCCUCCGACUGAGCGGUGCAGAGCAUGCUGGGAGAUCACCUCCACCUGAGGAGCACAAAAGACCCCAGGAGUGGAGGAAGCUGGCCUGAGGCCAACCGGACGUAGCAGACUUGCUGGGUCCAAGGAGGGAGAUCUGGUGAUGGAGCCUCGAGUACAUAUCCUUCCGAUCCUAAGCAGCCACAGAAGACAGACACAUACAAGAAGAGCCCUUCAGCUUGCUGCCUGGUUUUGACUCAGACUUGAUGCCCUCAGAACUUGGAAGACUGCAGGUUGAUUGCUCAUUGGUUGCUCACUUUUAGGCAGUCUGCCUUAUGAAAUAAGCUACAGUGGAUUCUAAAGCUGUACUGAAGUAUGUCUAAGGAGAAAAGAUUUACAAGGGACCUCAACGUUUUUUUCUCAAUCCUUCAUCACUGAAGUGCUUUAGAAUCUUGCUACUCAAAGUGUGGUCCCUAGCCAGCAGCUGCAGUGUCAUCUUGAAGCCAGGUAAAAUGCGGAAUCUCAAGGUGCACCCCAGAGCCACUGAAUCAGAAUCUCCAUUUUAAUAAGAUCCCCCGGAGAUGUAUGUGCACAUUAAAGUUGGAGACACUAUUUUAGAGAUCUUAUUGCAUCACUCCAUCUUUCCAGAAGUCUCCAGAAUAAAGAAAUGAAUUCAGACUUAGAACUACCUAAGAGGAGAAGGAAAAUGUUGAGGAACUGAAAAGGAAUUCUUGAGAAUGAGAAAAUGACAGCAUCAAAAGAAAGGGG